GGCGCAGCCGAGCGUUUUAUGUCUGAUAAAACACUCCUACUCGUGUUUUGAAUAGCUUAAAAUACGACUACAAAAGAAUACUAAUUAGGAUGAACAUUAUAUAAUCAUACUAAUUAGGAUGAACAAUUAUAUAAUGCCGCAUGCUUUAUCAGAUAUAAAGUCACUCCACGUGACAUAUUAUGGCUGACAUGAUUUGCCACAAGGUUUAUGAAUUAUUAAUGAGUAUUUUAAGUACUAUUUANNNNNNNNNNNNNNNNNNNNGUUGCAAAUUCUGAUAUCAAUGGCAAAGCCAAGACUACCAACGCGGAAAUCGCUCCUAGCCAAACAUAUACACCAAGUAGUUUGCCGGGUCAGACGAAGACCGACACUCGUGCAACCUCGGUAACUCGAGACAAUGUAGUGUUGUUGCUUGGUGUCUGUAUUGGUGGUGCUGUGUUGGUCAUCAUCACCAUUCUUGUUUUCAUGUUAUUGAGAAGGAGCUCACGCACACGAGGGGCCAAGAUAACUCGCAG
rnacentral:lncRNA from 1 species